GUGAUUGGACUUGCAAAGAUAACUCACCUCCAAAGUUUUCCCAGAGUUUUGCUGAGUUCCGCGUUGUGCAAAUGCGGGUAUUGAUCGGCCAGUUUUCUCCGUGCCGCUUGAGCCCAGACCAUAAAUGCAUUCAUGGGUCUUUUGACGUGAGGUUUGUUCUUGCUGGAGCCGUUAACGCGCACCGGCAUGGGCACCAGCGUCCAGUCGUAGCCCUUCAGCACCUGGGACACGGCGUCUCUGAUGCACACGGGGAACUUCUCUUCUUCGUUCUCCUUCUUGUAGUCUUGCCCCAGGUGGAGGUGGUUGUCGGACGGCCGGGUGUUUUCAGUGUCCGAGCCGGAGCCAGACGGGCACGGCGAGCCUGCGGAGUCCUCAGACAUGCUGGGGCUGGGAGCGUCAGAGAGACACUUCUCCUGUUCUUCUGCCAUCUUCAGGGCUGAGUCAGACUGGCUGACAGUGCGAGCUGCUCCCUGGCACCACUACACAUGAAAGGUCCCAUCCGAAAGCCGCGGGUGAUGUCAGCGCGGCACCUCGGACUACACACAGAGACACCUUU